UACAUUUGUGCCCUUUGGGACUCUGCUCCCGUUUCUAUCUUCCCCCGGCCGCCUCGCCGUCCACCCGUCGUCGCCACGGCUGGAGCUAGCAACAGAGCCUGGGGAAGGGAGCCAACGCCGCAACGCCACUCGUUAUACCACAUCAAGGAGGCACCCUGCUGCAGUCCGCAGCAGCCUGGGAGCAGCCCUGCCCUACGGUCGGCAUGUGCAGCAGCUAGCCAGCCAGCAACCCGACGGAGGUAGGUUGUCAGUCCCCACUCGAGCACUCGCCAAUUUUUAUUCAUAGAAUCAGGCAUUGGAUCUGGACAGAGUGAGAAUUAGGGAAUAAUAAUGGUUAGCUGCGUGACAUGUCAAUUUAUGACGGAUUGAUUCAUUAGGGGUUAGGGCAAGGGCAUAGGAUUUCUUUGGCCACUGUGACAUUGUCCAACUAAAAUGUUUAAUGUUCGAUUGAUUUAUUGAUAAGAAUCUAAAAUAAAACACAUGGUAUAAUUGUAAUGAAGAGGAUCGGAGACAUUGCCUUUUUUCCUAAAAACAUCAAGUAAAGAAGAAGGUUUAAUUGCUUAACAUGUGUAGGCUUUUUUUAAUGUAAAGUUCAUGCUUAACUGUGAAUUUUAAUAUGUUUGUAAUACCAUACUAAUCUGUUUCUAUUGUGCUAUUGGUAAAUUAAUUCUAUGCUGUCAUAUUUGUUGUAAAAAAUAAUCUUAAGGUGGACCACCUUGUUUUCAAAUCCUAGAUCCGCGACUGCUCGCUGCCGUCUCCCGCUCCAAGAUCUCUGGUUAAACGUCGAGCUUGGGUGAGAAGGUUAUUUGUCAUUCAGAUAUUCGGUGGCUGCUGUGGUGGUGCCGAGGGUAGGUGACGGAUGUUGAUGUCAAACUCAGAGAUGUUCUUUUAUCUUUUCAGUUUUGUCAUGUCGGUCUUUAUGUGACUUGCACUUUGAUCGGCAUGAUAUGAAUGAGACACAUAUUAGCAAGCAAAAAAAAUAAUAUCCUUGCUCCAUCCUUCAUCAUGUAGCGGCGCGUUGGACACUAGGCACCGCGCCAUGUAAGGGGCAAUCCAUAUGCACGACCUAAAAUAGACGUUCGUUUUAUAUGAAUUUCGUCCGUUUGAGAUGACAAUAAAGUUGUGUCCAUCCGGAUUUAUAGAUGCGCUCGACGUGCGUCCAACACGCGGUUGCAUCUUU
rnacentral:lncRNA from 1 species